GCGUUAGCAGUUCAGUGGUAGAACUCUUGCCUUGCAUGUGGGAGACCUGGGCUCUAGUCCCGGCCAGUGCA
rnacentral:tRNA from 1 species